rnacentral:rRNA from 1 species
UACGUAGGGGGCAAGCGUUGUCCGGAAUCAUUGGGCGUAAAGCGCGUGUAGGCGGCUCGGUAAGUCCGCUGUGAAAGUCGGGGGCUCAACCCUCGAAUGCCGGUGGAUACUGUCGGGCUAGAGUGCGGAAGAGGCGAGUGGAAUUCCUGGUGUAGCGGUGAAAUGCGCAGAUAUCAGGAGGAACACCGAUUGCGAAGGCAGCUCGCUGGGACGUAACUGACGCUGAGAACGCGAAAGCGUGGGGAGCAAACAGG